AUGUUCAAGCUGGUUUUAGAAAAGGCAAAGGAACCAGAGAUCAAACUGCCAACAUCCGCUGGAUCAUCGAAAAAGCAAGAGAGUUCCAGAAAAAAAAAAUCUAUUUCUGCUUUAUUGACUAUGCCAAAGCCUUUGACUGUGUGGAUCACAAUAAACUGGAAAAUUCUGAAAGAGAUGGGAAUACCAGACCACCUGACCUGCCUCUUGAAAAACCUGUAUGCAGGUCAGGAAGCAACAGUUAGAACUGGACAUGGAACAACAGACUGGUUCCAAAUAGGAAAAGGAGUAUGUCAAGGCUAUAUAUUGUCAUCCUGCUUAUUUAACUUAUAUGCAGAGUACAUCAUGAUAAAUGUUGGGCUGGAAGAAGCACAAGCUAGAAUCAAGACUGCUGGGAGAAAUAUCAAUAACCUCAGAUAUGCAGAUGACACCACCCUUAUGGCAGAAAGUGAAGAGGAACUCAAAAGCCUCUUGAUGAAAGUGAAAGAGGAGAGUGAAAAAGCUGGCUUAAAACUCAACAUUCAGAAAACGAAGAUCAUGGCAUCUGGUCCCAUCACUUCAUGGGAAAUAGACAGGGCAACAGUGGACACAGUGUCAGACUUUAUUGUUUUGGGCUCCAAAAUCACUGCAGAUGGUGAUUGCAGCCAUGAAAUUAAAAGACGCUUACUCCUUGGAAGGAAAGUUAUGACCAACCUAGACAGUAUAUUGAAAAGCAGAGAUAUUACUUUGCCAGCAAAGGUCCAUCUAGUCAAGCCUAUGGUUUUUCCAGUGGUCAUGUAUGGAUGUGAGAGUUGGACUGUGAAGAAGGCUGAGCACCGAAGAAUUGAUGCUUUUGCACUGUGGUGUUGGAGAAGAGUCUUGAGAGUCCCUUGGACUGCAAGGAGGUCCAACCAGUCCAUUCUGAAGGAGAUCAGCCCUGGGAUUUCUUUGGAAGGAAUGAUGCUAAAGCUGAAACUCCAGUACUUUGGCCACCUCAUGCGAAGACUUGACUCAUUAGAAAAGACUCUGAUGCUGAGAGGGAUUGGGGGCAGGAGGAUAAGGGGAUGA
rnacentral:lncRNA from 1 species